rnacentral:piRNA from 1 species
UAACGCGGCCUCUCGCACACGGAGCUC